rnacentral:rRNA from 1 species
AAAUAGAUACCCUGGUAGUCCAUGCCGUAAACGUUGGGCGCUAGAUGUGGGGACCAUUCCGACGGUUUCCGUGUCGCAGCUAACGCAUUAAGCGCCCCGCCUGGGGAGUACGGCCGCAAGGCUAAAACUCAAAGGAAUUGACGGGGGCCCGCACAAGCGGCGGAGCAUGCGGAUUAAUUCGAUGCAACGCGAAGAACCUUACCAAGGCUUGACAUAUACGAGAACGCUCUAGAAAUAGAGAACUCUUUGGACACUCGUAUACAGGUGGUGCAUGGUUGUCGUCAGCUCGUGUCGUGAGAUGUUGGGUUAAGUCCCGCAACGAGCGCAACCCUCGUUCUAUGUUGCCAGCGGUUCGGCCGGGAACUCAUAGGAGACUGCCGGGGUCAACUCGGAGGAAGGUGGGGAUGACGUCAAAUCAUCAUGCCCCUUAUGUCUUGGGGCUUCACGCAUGCUACAAUGGCCGGUACAAAGGGCUGCAAUACCGUAAGGUGGAGCGAAUCCCAAAAAGCCGGUCUCAGUUCGGAUUGAGGU